rnacentral:rRNA from 1 species
GACGAACGCUGGCGGCGUGCUUAACACAUGCAAGUCGAACGGAAAGGCCCUGCUUUUGUGGGGUGCUCGAGUGGCGAACGGGUGAGUAACACGUGAGUAACCUGCCCUUGACUUUGGGAUAACUUCAGGAAACUGGGGCUAAUACCGGAUAGGAGCUCCUGCUGCAUGGUGGGGGUUGGAAAGUUUCGGCGGUUGGGGAUGGACUCGCGGCUUAUCAGCUUGUUGGGGGGGUAGUGGCUUACCAAGGCUUUGACGGGUAGCCGGCCUGAGAGGGUGACCGGCCACAUGGGGACUGAGAGACGGCCCAGACGCCUACGGGAGGCAGCAGUGGGGAAUAUGGCACAAGGGGCGGAAGCCUGAUGCAGCAACGCCGCGUGCGGGAUGACGGCCUUCGGGUUGUAAACCGCUUUCGCCUGUGACGAGGCGUGAGUGACGGUAAUGGGUAAAGAAGCACCGGCUAACUACGU